rnacentral:rRNA from 1 species
UGGGGAAUAUUGGACAAUGGGGGCAACCCUGAUCCAGCAAUGCCGCGUGUGUGAAGAAGGUCUUCGGAUUGUAAAGCACUUUCGACGGGGACGAUGAUGACGGUACCCGUAGAAGAAGCCCCGGCUAACUUCGUGCCAGCAGCCGCGGUAAUACGAAGGGGGCUAGCGUUGCUCGGAAUGACUGGGCGUAAAGGGCGUGUAGGCGGUUUACACAGUCAGAUGUGAAAUCCCCGGGCUUAACCUGGGAGCUGCAUUUGAUACGUGUAGACUAGAGUGUGAGAGAGGGUUGUGGAAUUCCCAGUGUAGAGGUGAAAUUCGUAGAUAUUGGGAAGAACACCGGUGGCGAAGGCGGCAACCUGGCUCAUGACUGACGCUGAGGCGCGAAAGCGUGGGGAGCAAACAGGAUUAGAUACCCUGGUAGUCCACGCUGUAAACGAUGUGUGCUAGAUGUUGGGUACUUUGUU